rnacentral:lncRNA from 1 species
AAAAAUUGGACUGGCUUUUGGAAACCCUUAAAAAGAGAAAAUUGAGAAAUAAGAACAAAAGGUGAGGCUCUUUUUUGCAUAUGAAGUCAGUCUGAAGAGUUCUUGAGAACAAAGAAAAUAUUGUUUCAUUGCCUUCAAUUCCCUGAGUUUGUUUCCAACCUUCAACUGGAACUUCAGUUCCUACAUUCCCUUAAAGAAGAAGCAUGAUUUGUUUCUGUUUCAUUCGAGUUUGGUUUGUGGUUGCUGGAUUCACUUUUGAGCAUCUUGGUACUGUUGUUGGGUUAUUUUGGGAUCUUAUUUGGUUUUGAAACCAUUCCGAAAUUUGGUUUGGUUUUUCUCUACUGCUGGAAUUUUGCGAUCUUAUUUGGUUUUGAAACCAUUCCAAAAUUUGGUUUGAGUUUUCUGUACUGCUGGAACUUUUUUCGCUGAUUCCGCUCGAUCCAAAGUGUUUUUGGACCAUAUUUUGAUUUCCUAGGCUUUGUUGUGUUGCUGUGGUCUAGUCCUGUUAUUACUGCUGUCGCUAAUCUCUCUUCUUCUUCUAUUUCACAUUCCAGGUACACAUUCUGAUAAUGUGUGUUGAAGUUAUGAAGUGAAGUAAUAAAUGCAGAUUUUUAUCUGAAUGUCGU